GACGUAGGGCGCGAGCGUUGUCCGGAUUUAUUGGGCGUAAAGAGCUCGUAGGCGGCUUGUUACGUCGACUGUGAAAACCCGCGGCUCAACCGCGGGCCUGCAGUCGAUACGGGCAGGCUAGAGUUCGGUAGGGGAGACUGGAAUUCCAGGUGUAGCGGUGAAAUGCGUAGAUAUCUGGAGGAACACCGGUGGCGAAGGCGGCAUCCUGGACCGAAAUUGACGCUGAGGCGCGAAAGCCAGGGGAGCAAAGCGGG
rnacentral:rRNA from 1 species